rnacentral:rRNA from 1 species
ACUCAAAUGAAUUGACGGGGGCCCGCACAAGCGGUGGAUCAUGUGGUUUAAUUCGAAGCAACGCGCAGAACCUUACCUGGGUUUGACAUCCCUUGACCGUCCUAGAGAUAGGAUUUUCGAAGCAAUUCGACAAGGUGACAGGUGCUGCAUGGCUGUCGUCAGCUCGUGUGGUGACAUGUUGGGUUAAGUCCCGCAACGAGCGCAACCCCUGUUCUUAGUUGCCAGCAUUAAGUUGGGCACUCUAAGGAGACUGCCGUGGUUAACACGGAGGAAGGUGGGGAUGACGUCAAGUCCUCAUGGCCCUUAUAUCCAGGGCGACACACGUGAUACAAUGGUCGGUACAAAGAGGCGCGAAUGGGCAACCUGGAGCAAAUCUCAAAAAGCCGAUCUCAGUUCGGAUUGAAGUCUGCAACUCGACUUCAUGAAGUUGGAAUCGCUAGUAAUCGCGGAUCAGCACGCCGCGGUGAAUACGUUCCCGGGCCUUGUACACACCGCCCGU